CUGGGUGAAGCCUGGAGGUCC
rnacentral:siRNA from 1 species